rnacentral:rRNA from 1 species
UACGGAGGGGCUAGCGUUGCUCGGAAUUACUGGGCGUAAAGCGCACGUAGGCGGCUUCUAAGUCGGGGGUGAAAUCCUGGAGCUCAACUCCAGAACUGCCUUCGAUACUGGAAGCUCGAGUCCGGGAGAGGUGAGUGGAACUGCGAGUGUCAGAGGUGAAAUUCGUAGAUAUCGCAAGAACACCAGUGGCGAAGGCGGCUCACUGGGCCC